CUCUCUGAUUUUCCAUAUUUUCUCUCUCUAAAAAAUCUUUCUCUCUCCUCUAUCUAUCGCUUUCUUUCUCUCAACUUUCCCCUAUCCUCCGUACCUCUCUUCCAUCUGUUUUUUAAAUGCGUAGAAACCCCAAACUAUCGAUUUUUCCGCUCAAUUUAGCGGAAAUUUUAAUGUGUUUAUAGUUUGCUUGGUAGCGAUCCUCACUAUGAUCACUUUCCUCUCCAUUGUAGUUGCUUUGCCUCGAUGCUGCCACCGAAAACAGGUCCACCAGAUGUGGGUUUACUUAUAAGUGGGAAGUACAAUGACAUGAGUGGAGUCGGAAAAAGGUGGUCUUUAUGAAAGAACUUUUCGUUGGAUUAGAUCCGGUAUUGAGAACCAGUUUAUGGAAUGUUAUAAAGCAUGCAAAGCAAGAUCGAACGAUUAUUUUGACAACACAUUCAAUGGAAGAGGCAGAGCUCUAUGUGACAGAAUAGGAAUUCUAGCAGAUGGCUGUUUGCAAUGUAUAGCCAGCUCUCGAGAGUUGAAGGUUAGAUUUCAAGAACCUUCUACGUUUAAGGACACAACGCCCCCCCACCAGAAGGAUGAGUUGCGUCGCCUUUUUCGGUUUGCGAACUUCUAGUGGGUCAAUGGAAAAAUAGAUCUCACAAUUGUUAGAUGAGGAUUAGAGUGAGUUGAGAAGACAAGCACUUGUGAACAGAGAAGAUAUAAGAUGGGAGGCAUGUGGUUACUAUAAUUCCUGUUCUUGCAUUUCAAAACAGGGUAUGGGAUCAUAUAAUUUGAAGCAUGUUGUUGCAUUUAGGAGCAUAAUUUGAUGAUUGUGGACUGUAAAUUCACUCUCUGCGUCCUCCAUAUAAUUGUUGAUUAUUGUA